CAGUCACAUCACAUUGAAACACCAGUUCCCAUAUGAUCACCCAAGUUAAGCAACAUCGAGCCUAGUCAGUAUCUAGAUGGGUGACUGCUUGAGAAAAGUAGGUGUUGUAAG